UUCGGCUAAUCUACUAAGAUUAAAAGGCCUGUUUUCUUAUUCAACUGUCAAAGACAGAUUAGUUAUUUACAAAGUUCGCAUUAGUAACCUUCGUUACUCGGUUCAAAUAGAAAAUAAGUACUUGAAAGCCUACAAAAAGGAAUGUUGGUGGAAACUCAUUCAGUUCGACGCGGUCGUUGUAAGCGUACGGACGCCUACGCCGUAGCCGCGCUACGCCGUAGACAGGUUUACGAGUCGCGUGAUAACUUCGUUCGAUUUUGAAAUAUAAGUAUAGUUGUAAGUUAUGAUAAUGAAUUACUGUUUUGUUUUAAAAUAGUUGAGUAUUAAUUUUAAGUGUUUUUUUAUUUAAUAAAACAAUGUUCAGUGACAUUUAGAGAGGGCAGUGACUGAAUAGUGCACACGGUAACCUACUUAAAUGCUUCGUCAUAAAGGGGAGAAUUGGACUGUUUGAGGCGAUGUCGGGUCGCCAUGGGACGGGCUUGUAGUGCGAUGGAGUUAUCAGCAACGUUGCUGGUGUUUCUUCACCUUUCGAUGCACGUCGUCGAUGAGGGCCAUGCGGUUAAUCCCAGUGAGUA